UCGUGCUAGAUGGGGAGCUAGCGGUGCCCUGACUCCAUUUCGGUGGCUGACCCGCAACCCGCUACAGCGGGGUCGAAUAUCUUUUCGAGGGGCGCACGUUUCGGGACUGUUCAGUUCGUGUGGCGAUGAAGGUUGGGUCCGGCGCGGCAAAAGCCGACAAACCCCGCCAGGGUCGGAAGACAGCAACGGUAAGUCGUCACUUUUGGGCGCCGCCGGGGUACCUGGCUGGAGUUUACUGUUCAGGACAAGCCGGGGCGCGCGUUUCGACAAAAGGGUGCACGA
rnacentral:SRP_RNA from 1 species